rnacentral:rRNA from 1 species
UACGAAGGGGGCUAGCGUUGUUCGGAAUUACUGGGCGUAAAGCGCACGUAGGCGGGUCGUUAAGUCAGGGGUGAAAUCCCGGAGCUCAACCUCCGGAACUGCCUUUGAUACUGGCGAUCUUGAGAUCGGAAGAGGUGAGUGGAAUUCCCAGUGUAGAGGUGAAAUUCGUAGAUAUUGGGAAGAACACCAGUGGCGAAGGCGGCUCACUGGUCCGAUACUGACGCUGAGGUGCGAAAGCGUGGGGAGCAAACAGG